CAGACAUCGAGCUACAGAUAAUACAGUCAAAAGAGGAAGAACAACGUCAAUAACCAAAACCAUACCCAGGCACUGUGGUCAAGACAACACAUCAACUACAAGAACUAGCACUCUUCACAGUCUACAUCUGGCAUAUACUCCAGGAAAAGCUGCCAGUGUACAUUCCAAAUAUGUCUGUAGGGUCCCAUUUACCUGAAGAAGGUCAAAGGAGUGUCUUUUUGUCUUCAAGCGUUUGUUCAUGGAUGAAGUUGACCCACUAACGGACACCCACCGCAGCUUCAAGGAGCAUCUGACUGGGUACUGCACCAGGAAGGGGCAUGUCCAUUCUUGGUGCAGUUGCGAC